rnacentral:lncRNA from 1 species
UGCGAACAACAACUGGUUUCCCCUUUCGUUUAUUCCCGCACCCGACUGCCCCUGCCCCUCCUCUCCUCUUCCCCACCUCCUCUCCCUCGAGCAGCUCCACGCGCGACGCCACCCCCGAUGCUCUCGCCGCGCCUCAUUGGAUCCCGGGGAGCAAUCGCGACGAUCGGGACCGCACGGCGGCGCGACUCAGGGCCGCGGAGGCCGGCGCUGGCAGCUCGAGCUCGCGGCUGCGGCGAGGUCGGUGGCUAGGUCUCUCGCCGCCUGGCGAUUCCAGCCCUAAUCGCUGCUUAGGUUUAAUCCCGUUUCGCUGCUGGCUCGCGCGCGGCGGGAUGCUGCUUAGGGAUUACGGUCUCUCGGGGGCCGAAUGCUUUGUUGGGGGGUUCAAUUUAGGUUAGCUUUUGCUCGGCGAUUGACCUGUGCUGAGUUUGAGCGUAGACGCUUCCGGCUGCCAUUUUCCGGCGCUCGGGGUCGGGAAUUGCGUCAGCGUUGAUCGAAUUUGCUAGGGAUUGAGCUGCUGGGGUUGUGGGCUUGCUGAAAUUUGGGGUGUUCCCCGCUUUAGGUUUAGGGCGAUUGGGUUUGGCGCCGCAAUUUGGGAAUCCGUCGUUUCCGCGCUUCAGGCCUCGUCCUGAUCGCAUUUAGUUUACUUGGGCGCUUUGAUCUGUGCUGCAUCCGAAGCAUUUUGUUUUGGAACUGGUUUUAGCAUAACCUGAUUGUUUCCUUUUUGUACAUGGGCAUCGGUAUACUGCUUUAUUUUGGAUGCAAUACGUGAUUGUUCAGUUUGCGGUUUGCGGCUUCUAUUGAUCUCUUCGGCGCCAGUAGUAGGGUUCCAUUUGACGGUCUGGCUAAAUAGGCAUAUUGCUUUAAUACAGGAUUUUUUAUGUUGCGGGAGCUCCUUGUGGUGGUCAGAUGGUUUGCUCCUUUUCUGUUACCUUAGUGAUAGAUUUUUUUCACUGCUAGAUUUUUAUGCUCGAUCUGAUCUCCUAGCUUAGGUUUACCUCAGUCUAGUACUAAAUUUUGUGUUUUGAUGCUUAGAUUGGUUGCGAUGAGGGCUAUUUAGUAGUUUCAUGCUAGCAUCGUAGCUCAAAGAUUUCCUUUUGAUGUGGGUAUUUUGAGUAGUAACACUCAAUCUUCAGUAUGGCAUUCGAAUGACUUGUGUUGAUAUUAUUGAUAGACAACAUAUUUGACUUAACGGGAAAUUUUGGAGUUUCUGGGGCUCCAACCUUCAACUGUACUUUGUUCAGAUUGCCUUAGCACAUAAUGGUAAUACGGUAUGCACUUUUUCUUGCCACAGGUCUGGAGAGAUGAGGCAUCCUCAUGUCCUCAGCACUCUUUGGGUGUAUUUGAAGCGUGCUGUUCAGUUCUGGUAAUUAUAUUCAAGUUCUUGUGAACAACAGUGCUUUCUAAUUUUUCAGUUUUUGUAUCGUUAUACUUCGGUUGCUGUUUGUUGCAUUUUAUGAAGAAUGUUACAGUGGUUCUAUCAAAUCUGAAUUCAUAUUUUUGCACUAUGAUGACACUUUGUUAAGGAAGCAUGUUACGGCACAAAUCUAAAUGUAUUAGUUAUAAGGUCUUAUUUAGUUAUAUAUCCUGGCUGGUAUUUGUAUUCUAAAAUUUGAAGAGGAAGUUAAUCCAGCUUAUAGGACAGUGGUAUGAACUUCUAACUGUAUCCUGAAAUGCUUGGUCACACUGAAAGCAGAGUCAUAAAGAGUAUAGCUGCAGCUAAAGGAGAGUCACAAAAAGUAAACUGGCCAAUCAACUUGCCUUUGAAAGCCCAAGUAUGGGAGAUCCUUAGGUUAUUCAAAGAUCACACCCUGCAAAUAGUAAAUAUAUAUUUAUGGAAGUCCUCUCUAAUCCGAUGUGCCUUAUUUAUUUAGAUGGCAUAUGUAUUCCCAUCCAACCUCCAUAUUCUGAUUCUAUCAUUGAAGCUUAGCCCACAUAAUGAUGACCAGUAUACAUUCUGAUGAUCUGUAGAGUUAGAUAAUCCAUCCAAUGUUGUUACCAAAUCGAUCCAUUUCAUUAAAAUUCUUUUUGUAGCUACAAAAAACAAAAUAUAAGAGGCACUGGGUUCACACGACCUUUGCAAAAACUCUGGUACCAUAUACUUCUCACUACUAGGCAAAAUUUAUUGAUUGACUAUUUUAUGCAUGCAUUGGCAUUGAUCUCCAGAAUAGUUAUGCUCAUUGCCAACUUUAGAAAUAUGAUGAUCUUGAAUUUGUUUACCUUUUAUGACAGGAACCUUACAUAUCUAUGUGCCAGUUUACUGGAAUAACCUCCAACCUUUGUCAUGAUUGGGUUUGGAAAUGUCCCAGGAUACAAAAAUACACAAUGUGACCAGAUAACUAAACAUCUCUAUCACCCCUAGGUCACAAGUGCUGCUUAAAAUCAUGUUGCAAUACUAUUGUACACACGGUUUUAAUCUUCUUACAUAUUUGGUGUGACUUUUCCUAUUUGUUCAUGCGUCUUAUUAACCGAUCACUAGGAAAGGCUAUUUAUAGUCAAAAUAUCCGCAUUGUAAUUCACUAACUGAUUUGAUCCUAACUGGUUAAGGUGCUUUUGUAUACAUACCUGCAUAGUAAUUCACUCAUCAGCUCUGCUUUCGAGCUUGAUGUCUUACUUGUAUUCUCAUCUGUUUCUCACGAUAAAGGAUUUUGAUUGAAAUUACAGGCACCAUUUGUUGGCACGUUGUUGGUGUUCUUCUGGUGUUUACUAGGCACCAUGAAGUGGAAGUCUGAGCAUUGUCCGUGAGGCGUAAAUUAUACUAUGGUAAUCAAGCUUAAUUUUUUUAUAUUGGUAUAGUUCAUAUUGUGUUUUUUUGUUCUGAAUACUGGGAUUGACGUAAAAUAGAAGUAUGAACAUUGCUUGACUUGUGUUAGGGCUCUUUAGUGGUUAGGUUCAGUUGAGUUGGGUGACCAGAACAGAAAUAAACUGAAUAGGCAGUCUUUACCGUAUGGAUUGUUACCAUUUUGAAUUGACAGUAAACAUGAUGUUAAGUCCUUGCUAGUAUAAAGUUUUUUCCCCCUGUAUGAUCAACGGAAACUUGCUUUCAGUCAUUGGUACUCAAAUUAUUAUUUUUAGUGUUCUGUUUUAGUUUUGUUUCCACAUAGAAUGUGGCCAUCUAUUCAGCCAUAACUAUGAUAAGUCAUCCAGUUUAGUUCCACAUAGAACUGUGUAACAUAUACCUCAAAUCUGUGAGCGUGAGCUGGCAAUGCUGUCCAGAAAAUGAAAGGUCAUGUUAGAAAGUCCUGAUAUGCAAUUUACUAUGUUUAUGUCAUUCAACAAUUUUAAGCUAUAAUAUAGUGAUUAUGUAAAUGCUGCAAUGCAGAACUGGAGAUGUAGAUCAGAGAAUGGGUGCAACUGCAAGGAGAAUAGAUUAACAUCACAUCAGUGGUCAUAAACAAGAUCCAUUAACCACUCAAGGUCCACAAAGGCCUUUUGGUGCAGCUUACUACUCUCCAUAUCACUAUUUACAUUUCACUACAUUAUGUACAGUCAUCCAACUGUUGCCAUGCGCCCAAACUUGCCUGCACCACCAACAGAUGAUCCAAUCUCGUCCUUGCACCUCCCUGCCCCUGCACUAACCUCCACUCUUCCACCACCAUUGCUACCCCCACCACCACGGCCUUUACCUUUGUGUGGGCUAGCACACUUCCUGCAAAUGAAAUUUUCAGGGACUUCUUCGAAAUCACUGAUCCCUGAGCACCUGGUGUGCUGCCAGACUCCGCACAUGUCACAUGCUAGCAUACGUUCACCAUCAUCAUCCUUGGCACCACAUGAGCAGUCCACAGUCCAGUUCUCCAAACCCCUUUCCAUCCUGAACUGUACAAUCCUCCGAUAAUCUCCAGUGCAUCGUCCCCUUAACCGAACAAGCUGGCCUGAUCCAAGCACAUGCUUCACAGGGGUUGUGUCACUGAAGUUUGGAAAGUCAGGGAGCUCUUCAGCCUGGAAGCUUUGGAACAUGAGGUACGUCUCUUGAAAUGCCCUUGAAGCCUGCACUUUCAGUUCAGCAAGGGUAGCACUUGCCGGUAAAAAUACAAGUUCGUCUGGAGGUGCUGUGUAGUCUUUCGGGUGAUCAAGUAGUUCAAUGGAGCACCUCACACAGAGCAAGAAUGGGUUUGAAGGAGUCCUUAGAGCAUACUCGUCAUAAUGCUUGAUGAACUGCUUGCAAUCCAGAAUCUUUGCUGCUGCACUAUGUGAUGCUGCACCCACCACCUCUGGUUGUGAAGACAGCAUGGACUCUGGGUUCAGCAGAGCAUCGUAGAGGAAUCUAAGAUCAUGCAGGAGAUGUUCAACAGAAGGCUCAAACAUCGCUGCAUUAACUGGUGACUGAAUGGAGGAAGAUUCCAGCCUGCUCAUCAUGAAAUAAUGGUCAAGAAAACUACCAGACAAAGUUCGGGUAUCAAAAGGGAAGGAAACAAGACUGACCUGUACUCAAUUGCACUUGUCUCAGCAUUGCAGCGGACAGCAACAAAAUGGCCAUCAUCCAGUUGUUUUCCACCCAGUUCUCGAAGAGAAUAAUCAAGCAGCUCCUGUGAAUCAACAGCCUUUGAGGCAGCUCCCCUAAGUGCACGCCAAGAUACCCACUGUCCAGUUUGCACAACCCGGAGGACCUUAAGCAUUGCAGCUUCUGCUCGAUCAAGAUCAUCUUUAGUCCACACACAAAGCACAUUAGAUGUAAGAUCCAUGCGCUUAUAAGUUGAGGGUUUUGACAUCUUCUGAGUUUGAUGAAGCAGGUGCAUAAUGAAGCGGAAAAGGUCCCGUAGGGUCACCAGUUGGCGAUCAGAGAGUGCCCAGUAAAGAGCAAUUGUGUUCUGCAGUGGAGUCCUGAUGGGGCUUCGGUUGGAAAAGUACAGCGCCAGAUGUAUACUGGAAAGCAUGUCUACAGCCGUUCGGUAGGUUUCUGAGGUAAGUGCAAAGCUGCCAGCACCAAACUUGUAUCCCCAUUCACCAUACCAUGGGUGCCCACUUGUGACUGCAUGCAGAAGUCUGUAGUCCAUUCCAUGUUUCUUGGAGAUGUCCAUGACAGUGACCUUCCUGCAGUGAUGGAAAUGAUAGUUAGGUUGAAGGAAGGAUUUUGGAUAAAUGUCAAUUCCAAUUAAAGAUUGCUGUUCUGCUCCUUUCAUUUACCUCACAUAUAGCACCUUGCACAAGCGAUCCCAUAAGCUCAUUAUGUCACGGCCAGUGAGGAAUCUAGAGCCACCUUCACGGCCAUUUACCCUUAGGAGGUGCCCAUAACCGUUGGCAUGCACUACAGCGUGCAGCAAGUGAGAGGAGUCAUCCAGAUGCAGGUAUGCACACUCUUCGAUUUCCUCACCAUCCAUAUCAAAGUUGCAGAGGGCACACCUGGGGAAUGUAUUGCAUUCGAAGUUAGAGAACUUGCAAAGUAGUAUUCAGAGCAUCACAAGUUCACAACACAUUAAUCAUAUUACAUGCUUUAUGAUUUAUUCAGAGCUAGGCAGAGAUAACUUUCUAAGCUGUCUAUGAAAACAAGCCCCAUCCAAAUGCAAUCUAUUUGAAACUCUCUGCAUUUAGAUUCGGGCAUGCACUGAUUCACAGCAUGUAGACACAUCUGAGUACUAUAUAGGCAUCUAACGCACAGCAUAUUGACAUCAACUGGUCAUGUAUUAACGUUGUCAGGUCCCAUUUCCCAUUCGCUGUUAUGCAAGCAUGUAUAUUUUCUGAAAUGUGCCUCCCACCUUGAUUCUCCAGCGACCAUGCGAGUCCCGCAGCGCAGGCAGCAGGUGCGCCGGUGGCCGGAGAGCUGGUUGCAGUCGUUCUCGAUGAUGAAAUGGUAUCGCUUCCCGCAGACUGGGUGGCCACUCCAUCCUGCAACCCAACAAACACAUCAGACACAAGAUUCCAUUGCAGAUGCUGUAUUGCUGUAUGGUAACAGUAUAUGACAAGGAAGAUUGAAUCAAUCAUGGUUAUGGAUGUGAAAGCAACAGCCCAACAAUUCGCUGACAAGACGAAAGCUUCCAGAAAAUUUGGGUGAAACGGGUCGAUUUUUUUAAAAAAAUAGAAAGACGUUGGAUUCAAAAGCCAAUACCGCUCAAUAAAUCGAAAAGAUAACGAGAAGAUCGAAACAAAAC